rnacentral:rRNA from 1 species
CAAUAGCGUAUAUUAAAGUUGUUGCAGUUAAAAAGCUCGUAGUUGGAUUUCUGGUCGGAAGCUCCUGUCCUCUGAUGAGCGUACAAGUGCGUCCUACCAUCCUUCUGUUAACCUUUAAGGCUUUCGCGGCUUUCUAGGGGCUCAGAUAUUUUACCUUGAGAAAAUGAGAGUGUUUCAGGCAGGCUAGCGCCGGAAUACAUUAGCAUGGAAUAAUGGAAUAGGACUUUUGCCUCUUCUGUUGGUCAUGAGGCUCGAGUAAUGAUUAAUAGGGAUAGUUGGGGGCAUUAGUACUUAACUGUCAGAGGUGAAAUUCUCGGAUUUGUUAAAGACUAACUUAUGCGAAAGCAUUUGCCAAGGAUGUUUUCAUUAA